UCCUUUUGAACUUUCCUUUUCGCUUAUUCAUUUUCCUUUUGAACUUGUUUGUUUGUUGAGAAAACAGUGUUCGGAGACGAAAGCUUUUCUCGAUCCAGAAGAUGACAUUCUCAGACUCGAGAUCGUAACCAUGCUAGAUCGAAUCAAGAAAUAGAUCGUUCCCGAUCAUUCCAAACUUUCAGAAAUUUUCACGGAUUUAGGAAUUCGAGACUCAUCGAGUUGCAGAGAAGAAAUCAAGUCUCUCCAAGAAGAAGUUCAGAAUCAAAACGACGACUCAGACUCGAGAUCGUAACCAUGCUAGAUGGAAUCAAGAAAGAGAUCGUUCCCGAUCAUUCCAAACUUUCAGAAAUUUUCACGAAUUUAGGAAUUCGAGACUCAUCGAGUUGCAGAGAAGAAAUCGAGUCUCUCCAAGAAGAAGUUCAGAAUCAAAACGACGAUAAAUCAAAAUCAGAACUCGUAGCACUGAUCGGAAUCGUUCGCUACACGAAAUGCGUCUUGUUAACUUUCCUUUCCUUUUCGUUUAAUCGUUUUCUCACUCUCAAUUGGAGUCGACGAUUGAAGAAUAUUCUGCAUAUCAUCGUUCUUCUUCUGCUGCUGCUCCUGCUCCAAACGCCUCGCCCAAGAACUUCAUCCAGGAAAGCUUUUGUAUGUAUUUGUGUGUAGGUGUUUAUAGCUUCUGGGAUGGACCAAAGUUAUCGAGAGGACCAUAUUUGGGGAUUACAACAGUGUGUUCUCUAUUGGAGAGAGUUGGGGACACAUAUUCAUUUCAUGGUUGCCCAUGUAUGGAGAGCUCAAGCUGGCCCUUUUCAUUUAUCUUUGGUAUCCGAAGACCAAGGGAUCUGAUUAUGUCUACGAUGCCAUAAGCUACUGGAGUACAGAGCAAGGGCCUGGAAUUUGGCCCUUUUCUACUGGAAAUGUUGUUAUUUAGUAAAGUCUGCAAUCCUAUUCUUACACACUUGGCCAUCCUUCUUCCUCAACAAAGCUCUUAUUUGAAGACCAAAGCUUGGUUUCUGCCAUUUAUUGUCGGUUUAGAUUAUUUGUGUCGUACUCUCCAUUUGAAUAUCAGUGCAAGGACAUAUGUACAACUCGACGAUGGUACAGAGUUGCUAGAUGCUGUGAUGUUCGGUGAUGUUGCAGAAAACAUAUUCUCAUGUACUGCAGUUCAAUUAAGAUCAUAUUCGGACGAGGUAACUAUAAAAAAAUAAAUAUGUAAAAUUUAUACAUUUUCGUACUUAGAAAUACAUUAAAACUUAUAACUAAUCAUUUUUUUUAGAGAAACAUAAGUUGUUUAUCCAAAAAACUACGAAGCAAUUAUCAGCCAAAAAAUGGAGAAUUCAGUUGUACGUAGAUGCAAACCGAACAAUGAGUUCAAAGUACAAUCAGUUCACCAUCCAAGCAGUUGAACCAAUGGAAGAUUAGGCAGAAGUUACCUUUUUUUUUUUUACAGUAAUUUUAUUUUAUUUAGUGUUGAGACUUUUCUUGGUGCCAAGCUUCUUUUUCUUUCUAUUGACUUGUUAUUUAUGGAUUGACAUGGAGUAGUGUAUGCAAGUAUUUCAUAUACCCAAUUUUCUAGAAGUAAAUAAUAAAUAUCAUUUUAUUAUGAUUUAUAUAUACCUAAUUAUAUUUUACCAACCAAUUAUAAUAGCACAAAUAUUAAUUUGAUAAAACAAAUCAUUCGUAUAAUCAUACCUUCACAUACAAUCUAAAUAAGAAGAAAAAAAAAAACUAAACUUUACCUAAAACUAAUAUUUACGUGCCUCGGCACGUAACUCUUACCUAGUAUAUAUAUAUAUGGAGGUAUUCAACCAAUAAUAUGUUCUGUGUUCAUUAUAUGAUACAAAAGAUAAAUUCCAACUAAUCCAUAAGUAAAAUAAUUGAAUUCUAAACUAAUAGAGUAUAAUAUGAUGAUACUAGUAGAAAUUUGGAGUCCUUUUAUUUUCUGCUUGAACAUUGAGUGUAAAUGAAAAGUUUUAAAAUCAAUACGAAGCAUCCGAAAAGGCAUCAGCACUUGCAACCUCUUUGAUAAUAUUUCACUUUGAAAGCAGACCAGCAACCAUAUCAUCUUCGAUACCACACUCAUUUGUUCCUCUCCUGAUCAUGAAGUAACCAUCCUGCCAUCCAGAAAGAAAAAAUCGAAAUUGUCACAUAUUUCAAUAGAUACAUUUACUAAAAAUAGAGGAAGUUUUAAAAGGGACUUAGAUCACCCACCCCAUCUGAUUUGCAAGAAGCUGCAUCAAAAGAAAGAACAAAAUCAGCAUAAUACCUCACAACAUUAAAAGUUGAAAGUUAGAGGUAUAGCGUAUAAAUUACUCAAUAGUCGUUCCCAUUAUCACUAGUUUCCCAUCCAGUUAGCUUAACAGCAUGACCUCCUAUUUGUUAUCCUGUUAUGUGUUUGUAAACUCUUCAUUUGAAGUGAGCAAAAUCUUAAGAAUAGUUUUAGAGAAGCUUAAGAAGCAGAGCAUGUACAUUUGGAAAUUAAGUCAUUUUCUUUCUACAUUUAAAUUGCUAACUAAAAAGUAUGAAACCAGAUGUUACCUCAUAAAUGGUGAAUGAAAGUUCAAUUGGACCAUUCAUAUAAACUUCAUCCAUAAUACUGUGGGGGUCGGACUUGAUUAUGUAUGCAUUAUUAUUUUAAUGCUUUGAAUUCUUCUUGAAUUGGUUCUUGUCAACUCACUUUCUAGCACAUUUCGGAGUUAGAAAUCCAAGCUCGCAACCAGGAUGAGAAUAAUCAGUAUCAUCGAAAUACGGGUCACACUUGCAGAUAUAAAAUCCAGAGUCAACAGUCAUAAAAAAAAAUAAAAAUCAUUAGCUACUGCUCGAUGGAACAUUGACAAAAAUAAAAAAGGAAUAUUUUUCUAAUAAUAAUACAUAAUUUCAUAAGCGCAAGUACAUAAGAAAUGUAAAGCUAGAUCACAUCCUUCUCCAUGGAAGACAAAAAUAAAACAAAAGGUCUUACCACUUCAGUCACAACACCAUGAUGGACAAGGUAUCUCCAAGUAGAAAAUGGGCUAGCCCCCAUCACAGCCACUUCCACAUUGAAAGCCACAACAAGACGAGAUCAUUAGUAGAAAGGGAUAUGUUCUAAAACAAAAUUUGUAGCAAUAUCUUUCAUAGCUUGUUGCGAAAUGGAAAUAACAUAAUCUCGGAAUAGACACUAUAGUUUGUUGUGAAAUGAAAACAACUAGCAUUUAACCUCAUCUAACAUAAAAAAUAGAAACAAAUAACAUUAAAAAUGGAAACAACUCAAUUUUAGGCAUUGACCAGCUAAAUUUUUUGAAACCAAACACUCACCAAAGUGAAAGUUAGACACCUAAAAUAGCUCCCAAGAUAGUAUAAGUGAGUAAGUAGCUAAUGAGUAAACAUCAAUAGAAAUUAUUGCUGCUAAUGGUAUAUCUUCUUCUACUGCGUAAAUAAGCAAAUCCAAUGACCAAGAAAUCAAACGAAAGUUUGUACCCAUAUAAGAUGAUGUUUGUGCAUAUAUAUUUUAGUACAAGUCAACAAACAAAUCAAAUGAAAGUUCAAGACACACAAAUAAGAAAUUCAAAACAUCAAAUAUCUCACACUAUAUAAUAAGUCCCUGGAGUAGUUACAACAAUAACUUUAAGACUUUCACAUCUACUAGACUGUAAGCACAAAAAAAACUGUUAUACCUAUUGGAUAUAACUACAACCAGAUCAUGUAAUAUAUAAAGGGAAAAAUUUAAAGUAUAACAUAAACUAUUAAGAAAUUUACAUGUACUAACCAUCCUUUUCAAAUUUCCUCAUAAUCUUCUCUAUGAGAUAACAUCAUAAACAGAAAAAAAACUAAAUAACCUAUUCCAAAAUCACAUAUUAUGAUUUUACUACCAAACCCAAUGAAACCCAAGACACCAUUCACCACCUAUUAGAAAAUUUAAAUCAAUUAACCAAAAUCAUAAAUGAUUAUGAGACAGAGUUCGGAUUAUGAAAGCCAAUGAAUUUUUGGGAGCACUUCAUAAUGUAUAUCCCUAAAGUAAUGAACAAAAGCAAAACAAACUUAAAAUGUGAAUCCAUGAGCUAGGAAAAAGAAUGGAGUUUGAGGGGAAUACUUGAUUAUUACAAAAAAAAAAAAAAACAAACGGAUAAUAACUAAAUCGUAGCCCUGUUAGAAAGACCUAGAAUCAAUAUAGAACUCUACAAAAUAGAGACAAUCACUUGACUAUGACUAUUUUUCAUACUAAUGGUCUCAUCUCAACUCUCAGCAUUCAAAGAACAAAGCACAAAUUGAUUUAAUUACUUAAUCACUAAUUAGAGAAUAAAAAUAAAAUUACAACCGUAGAGAACCAUAGGAACAAAUAUAUGCAGAGAUAAAUAAAAAAAAAUAUGAAAAGAGAAGAGAAAUGAAAUAGAUGAAAGGUACAAAUAAUAAACUCGUACCUGUGAAUGUGGUAAUGGACCCGAGUUCAACAACCCAACGACCCAUAUGUCACUUGACUAUACUCAAAUAGAAUUCCUUCUCUCCGAUCAGUUAGAGAAGGAGGUUGAUAAUGUUUAUACUUCUACGAUAACUUUGAUGAGUGAGCAACAGAAGAAAGGGUCGAUAGAGAGUUCGAGUAAGGGAAUGGGAGGGUUGCAUCUGGUGGUUGAUGCGCCGAAUUCGAGAGGUUUGGAUGCAGAAGGUGGCCUUGUGAAGCUCUCUCUUGCGUGGAGGAAGAAGCUGAAAAGGGGAAAUAAUUUGUUUUAGAAAUAAGUAAACGUAUAAAUGAAAAUUAAAAGUUUAUUAAUUUAUAUUUAUGCAAAAUAAGUUUUAUAAAAGUAGGAAGUAUAAAAUAAUAACGUAAUAAUAGAAAAAAAGUUACAAAUUAUGGUGUAUUAGAUAAUUUCUCAUCUUUUUUCCAUUUUUUUUUGACGGGUAAGGAGCAAAAAUCUUUUAAUUAAAACGUAAAUUUAGUAAUGGGUCAAAAAUAAUAAAAUCUAAAAAAGGUAACUACUAAAUCCAAAAGAAUCCUAUAAUAUUAUCUCUACAUUUCCUAUUCCAAAUAGGAGUCUAACGUUAAUUAUAACUAGUCCCUCUACUUAAGUUCUAUAUAUAUAUAUGAACAUAAUAUUCAUUCUUUUCAAUCAAUAUAAUCUCAAAUAUAUAUAUAUCUCUCAAAAUAUUCGUACUUCUCAAUCUCUUCCAUCAAUAUUCAACUAAGAUUAUUUUCAUAGGUUUCUUUCAGGUAUGUAUCUACUUUACAAAUAUAUAUGUAUUUUUUUACCUUAAUAGUUAUACUAAUUAUAGGCACUUACAAUAUUAACCUAAAUGGUUGAAUUUAAAAUAACUCUUAAAAUAGUUGUUCUUCCUGUUCCUAAUGUUGAAUUUUAUGGGUUUCAUAUAUAAGAUUUUUGUUUUUCUCCAUUAAAGAGAAGAUGGCUACUAUAUUUUGAUAUAAUAUUAAAUGUAUGCAAUCCUUUUAUUUGAAAUUAAUGAUAUGAAUAUGGUUAUUUUAGUUAACUUAUUAUAUUUGUACGUAUAAUGUAGGGCUCAAAAUAAUGAAACCGAUCAAGAGAAAAAACAAUGACUCAUCAAAAAUAAGUAUAGCUUCAACAAAGCAAAUACAGAAAAAUAGCAAAAGUGACCUAAAAUUGAUAGUGAAUGAUAAUGGUCUUCCAAUUAAUUCAAUGAAGAAUAUUAAUUGGCUUCCCAAUGAUUUAAUUGUGGAUAUAUUAGCUGAUGUUGCUGCUACAUCAAUUUCUGAUUUCUUCAAUGCUAAAUUAAGUUGGAAAUUAUUCAAUAAACUAGCCAAGGAGAAUGAUGAAUAUAUUCACAAUAAACUAUCACUUGAUGAACUUUCUUGUCAUCCAUGGGAUCUAUACCUAUGCAAGGAAGCAAUUGCCCUCUUCAUGAAAUGCCUACAUAGUCAAAAUUCAGAAGCUAUGUAUAGACAAGGAGUGAUUGAUUACUUAAACUUCCACCAGAAAAAAGAAUCAGGUUUAGAAUUGUUGGAAAAGGCAGCCAAUACUGGUCACCUUGGAGCUUCUUAUUUCAUGGGUAUUAUCUAUAUUUGCAAAGAAGGUCAUCAUAAAAGUGAUAAUGAAUCAGAACAAAGUUGUACUAAGCUUGGGUUACAAUUAUAUGGCAAUAUUAAAACAAGUGCCCAAAUGCUACAAUGUCGAAAAAAAUUGAAGGAGAUAGCGAAUUCACUAUGGGUUACACAAAAUCAUGACUUUCUCAUACCAAAGUUGUUUGAGUGUCAAUUUCCAGAACGAAAGAGAAGGUUGUGGCCUUGUUUGGAUGAUGAUUUAUUGCUAUGUUGUCACACAUGUCGACUCAAUAAUGAAAUUACUUUUGUUUGUAAUUUAAUGGCUGGUUGUUCUAUAUUUUCA